rnacentral:rRNA from 1 species
UACGGAGGGGGCCAGCGUUGCUCGGAAUUAUUGGGCGUAAAGGGCGCGUAGGCGGCUUGGUAAGUUUGAUGUGAAAUCCCAUGGCUCAACCAUGGAACUGCAUCUCAUACUGCCGAGCUAGAGUCUGGGAGAGGGAAGCGGAAUUCCCGGUGGUAGCGGUGAAAUGCGUAGAUAUCGGGAGGAACACCAGUGGCGAAGGCGGCUUCCUGGACCAGCACUGACGCUGAGGCGCGAAGCU